AUCCUUACCUGGCAGGGGAGAUACCCACAAGGGCGGUUUUGCCAGGGCAAGGCUCAUCCAUUGCACACUAAAUACGCUGAUCCCUGUGAUUUCCCCAAAUGUGGGGAACUCCAAUGCAUAAUCUGUGGUGGUGGGGCACUAUGCUUGCCCUCUCCCCAA
ensembl:snRNA U1 U1 spliceosomal RNA